UACAGAGGGUGCAAACGUUGCUCGGAAUUACUGGGCGUAAAGCGCGUGUAGGCGGUCCGCUAAGUUGGUAGUGAAAUCCCAUGGCUCAACCAUGGAAGUGCUGCCAAAACUGGCGGGCUGGAGUGUCGGAGAGGGUGGCGGAAUUCCCAGUGUAGAGGUGAAAUUCGUAGAUAUUGGGAGGAACACCGGUGGCGAAGGUGGCCACCUGGACGAUAACUGACGCUGAGACGCGAAAGCGUGGGGAGCAAACAGG
rnacentral:misc_RNA from 1 species